rnacentral:rRNA from 1 species
AACGAACUCUGGUAUUGAUUGGUGCUUGCAUCAUGAUUUACAUUUGAGUGAGUGGCGAACUGGUGAGUAACACGUGGGAAACCUGCCCAGAAGCGGGGGAUAACACCUGGAAACAGAUGCUAAUACCGCAUAACAACUUGGACCGCAUGGUCCGAGUUUGAAAGAUGGCUUCGGCUAUCACUUUUGGAUGGUCCCGCGGCGUAUUAGCUAGAUGGUGGGGUAACGGCUCACCAUGGCAAUGAUACGUAGCCGACCUGAGAGGGUAAUCGGCCACAUUGGGACUGAGACACGGCCCAAACUCCUACGGGAGGCAGCAGUAGGGAAUCUUCCACAAUGGACGAAAGUCUGAUGGAGCAACGCCGCGUGAGUGAAGAAGGGUUUCGGCUCGUAAAACUCUGUUGUUAAAGAAGAACAUAUCUGAGAGUAACUGUUCAGGUAUUGACGGUAUUUAACCAGAAAGCCACGGCUAACUACGUGCCAGCAGCCGCGGUAAUACGUAGGUGGCAAGCGUUGUCCGGAUUUAUUGGGCGUAAAGCGAGCGCAGGCGGUUUUUUAAGUCUGAUGUGAAAGCCUUCGGCUCAACCGAAGAAGUGCAUCGGAAACUGGGAAACUUGAGUGCAGAAGAGGACAGUGGAACUCCAUGUGUAGCGGUGAAAUGCGUAGAUAUAUGGAAGAACACCAGUGGCGAAGGCGGCUGUCUGGUCUGUAACUGACGCUGAGGCUCGAAAGUAUGGGUAGCAAACAGGAUUAGAUACCCUGGUAGUCCAUACCGUAAACGAUGAAUGCUAAGUGUUGGAGGGUUUCCGCCCUUCAGUGCUGCAGCUAACGCAUUAAGCAUUCCGCCUGGGGAGUACGGCCGCAAGGCUGAAACUCAAAGGAAUUGACGGGGGCCCGCACAAGCGGUGGAGCAUGUGGUUUAAUUCGAAGCUACGCGAAGAACCUUACCAGGUCUUGACAUACUAUGCAAAUCUAAGAGAUUAGACGUUCCCUUCGGGGACAUGGAUACAGGUGGUGCAUGGUUGUCGUCAGCUCGUGUCGUGAGAUGUUGGGUUAAGUCCCGCAACGAGCGCAACCCUUAUUAUCAGUUGCCAGCAUUAAGUUGGGCACUCUGGUGAGACUGCCGGUGACAAACCGGAGGAAGGUGGGGAUGACGUCAAAUCAUCAUGCCCCUUAUGACCUGGGCUACACACGUGCUACAAUGGAUGGUACAACGAGUUGCGAACUCGCGAGAGUAAGCUAAUCUCUUAAAGCCAUUCUCAGUUCGGAUUGUAGGCUGCAACUCGCCUACAUGAAGUCGGAAUCGCUAGUAAUCGCGGAUCAGCAUGCCGCGGUGAAUACGUUCCCGGGCCUUGUACACACCGCCCGUCACACCAUGAGAGUUUGUAACACCCAAAGUCGGUGG